UGGGCCUAAAAAAAUUAUAAGGUAUAGGUUCUGUUAAGUCUAACUUGGGCAGAAAGUUUUACUCCUGAAACUAUUUGCUGCUGAAUUUUAGGGUUAAUAACCAGUUCCAAUAAUCUUAAGAACAAAAUGUAUAAAAAUUAUGCUGAUUAUAACUGAGCUUAAAUUACUAAGAGAAGUGAACUUUCCUGACCUCUAGUAACUCUUCCUUCCUUAGUCAUGCAUGACCUUCUCAGAGAAACAAUUAAUGGAAUAAUUUUUUCACUCACUCAGCCCUUUCUUCUAACUGCCAACUGAAUACCAGAUUUUUCUUUCUUGCCUUGGUCUACUGAAGUGACACCCCCAUCAGUAAAAUAAUUAGUGAAAGCAGCUUUCUGACUCAACAAGCCUAAUCACAAAGAAUGUUUACAUCUGGGCAAAUAAUUCACUCAGCAAGUAAAAUGUGACAGAUGAUGCUGUGUCACAUUUCAACUUCCACUUUCAAAGCUUCUUGUACACAGUAACCAUCUGACUAACAGGAAAAAUAAGAGUGUACUUACUAUUCCAUGUCAAUUACAGUG
rnacentral:lncRNA from 1 species